GGUGAGGUGGGUGAGUGGCUUAAACCAGGAGUUUGCUAAACUUCCGUACGUUAUAAAUGCGUACCGAGGGUUCGAAUCCCUCCCUCACCGCCA
rnacentral:tRNA from 1 species